ACGGGUGAGUAACACGUAAACAACCUGCCUUCAGGAUGGGGACAACAGACGGAAACGACUGCUAAUACCGAAUACGCUUGGGAGACCGCAUGAUCUUCCAAGGAAAGGGUGGCCUCUACCUGUAAGCUAUCGCCUGAAGAGGGGUUUGCGUCUGAUUAGGCAGUUGGCGAGGUAACGGCCCACCAAACCUACGAUCAGUAGCCGGCCUGAGAGGAUGAACGGCCACACUGGAACUGAGACACGGUCCAGACUCCUACGGGAGGCAGCAGUGGGGAAUCUUCCGCAAUGGGCGAAAGCCUGACGGAGCAACGCCGCGUGAGUGAUGACGGCCUUCGGGUUGUAAAGCUCUGUGAUCGGGGACGAACGGUCCGUAAGUCAAUACCUUAUGGAAGUGACGGUACCCGAAUAGCAAGCCACGGCUAACUACGUGCCAGCAGCCGCGGUAAUACGUAGGUGGCAAGCGUUGUCCGGAAUUAUUGGGCGUAAAGCGCGCGCAGGCGGCUUUCUAAGUCCAUCUUAAAAGUGCGGGG
rnacentral:rRNA from 1 species